GACGAACGCUGGCGGCGUGCUUAACACAUGCAAGUCGAACGAUGAACAGGAGCUUGCUCCUGGGAUUAGUGGCGAACGGGUGAGUAACACGUGGGUGAUCUGCCCCAAACUUUGGGAUAAGCCUGGGAAACUGGGUCUAAUACCGAAUAUGACCAACUCCUGCAUGGGGGUUGGUGGAAAGCUCCGGCGGUUUGGGAUGGGCCCGCGGCCUAUCAGCUUGUUGGUGGGGUAAUGGCCUACCAAGGCGACGACGGGUAGCCGGCCUGAGAGGGUGACCGGCCACACUGGGACUGAGAUACGGCCCAGACUCCUACGGGAGGCAGCAGUGGGGAAUAUUGGACAAUGGGCGAAAGCCUGAUCCAGCAACGCCGCGUGAGGGAUGACGGCCUUCGGGUUGUAAACCUCUUUCAGUACCGACGAAGCGCCCUGUCGGGUGGUGACGGUAGGUACAGAAGAAGGACCGGCCAACUACGUGC
rnacentral:rRNA from 1 species